rnacentral:piRNA from 1 species
UCGGUUCCAUGCUGCAAUUUU